rnacentral:rRNA from 1 species
UGGCCGGUCGUCAGCUCGUGCCGUGAGGUGUUGGGUUAAGUCCCGCAACGAGCGCAACCCUGCAUUCAGUUGCCAACGGUAAGGCCGGGCACUCUGGAUGGACUGCCGGCGACAAGCCGGAGGAAGGUGGGAUGACGUCAAGUCAUCAUGGCCCUUAUGUCCAGGGCGACACACGUGCUACAAUGGCCGGCACAGCGGGAAGCAGGGGGCGACCUUGAGCGGAUCCCUCAAAGCCGGUCUCAGUUCGGAUUGCAGUCUGCAACUCGACUGCCAUGGAGUUGGAAUCGCUAGUAAUCGUGGAUCAGCAUACUCGCGGUGAAUACGUUCCCGGGCCUU